UACGGAGGGGGCUAGCGUUGUUCGGAAUUACUGGGCGUAAAGCGCGCGUAGGCGGCUUUUCAAGUGACGGGUGAAAUCCCUCGGCUUAACCGAGGAACUGCCUGUCAGACUGGAAGGCUUGAGACCGGGAGAGGUGAGUGGAAUUCCCAGUGUAGCGGUGAAAUGCGUAGAUAUUGGGAGGAACACCAGUGGCGAAGGCGGCUCACUGGACCGGAACUGACGCUGAGGCGCGAAAGCGUGGGGAGCAAACAGG
rnacentral:rRNA from 1 species